GAUGAACGCUAGCGAUAGGCUUAACACAUGCAAGUCGAGGGGCAGCACAAGGUAGCUUGCUCUCUGGGUGGCGACCGGCGCACGGGUGCGUAACGCGUAUGCAACUUGCCCUAUACAGGAGGAUAACCCGUCGAAAGACGGACUAAUACUGCGUAUGCUCACAACUUGGCAUCAAGUGGUGAGGAAAGAAAUUCGGUAUAGGAUAGGCAUGCGUCCCAUUAGCUUGUUGGUGAGGUAACGGCUCACCAAGGCAACGAUGGGUAGGGGAACUGAGAGGUUUAUCCCCCACACUGGUACUGAGACACGGACCAGACUCCUACGGGAGGCAGCAGUGAGGAAUAUUGGUCAAUGGGCGCGAGCCUGAACCAGCCAAGUCGCGUGAAGGAUGACUGUCUUAUGGAUUGUAAACUUCUUUUAGACGGGAAUAACAAGAGUCACGUGUGACUCCCUGCAUGUACCGUAUGAAUAAGCAUCGGCUAACUCCGUG
rnacentral:rRNA from 1 species